SGGGGGCACGGGGGGCCUACGGGAGGCAGCAGUAGGGAAUAUUGCACAAUGGGGGAAACCCUGAUGCAGCGACGCCGCGUGAAGGAAGAAGUAUCUCGGUAUGUAAACUUCUAUCAGCAGGGAAGACAAUGACGGUACC
rnacentral:rRNA from 1 species